UUGGGAGUCUAGCGCAGUGGUAGAGUUUAUGCUUAGUAUGUAUAAGGCUUGGCUUCCAUCCCCAGCAUCAAAA
rnacentral:tRNA from 1 species